UACAGAGGUCUCAAGCGUUGUUCGGAUUCAUUGGGCGUAAAGGGUGCGUAGGCGGCGCGGUAAGUCGGGUGUGAAAUCUUGGAGCUUAACUCCGAAACUGCAUUCGAUACUGCCGUGCUUGAGGACUGGAGAGGAGACUGGAAUUUACGGUGUAGCGGUGAAAUGCGUAGAUAUCGUAAGGAAGACCAGUGGCGAAGGCGGGUCUCUGGACAGUUCCUGACGCUGAGGCACGAAGGCCAGGGGAACAAACGGG
rnacentral:rRNA from 1 species